rnacentral:tRNA from 1 species
CGCUCGGUAGCUUAGUUGGUAAAGCGCUCGUCUAGCAUACAAGAGUCGUGGGUUUAAAUCCCAGCCGAGCAC